AACGAACGCUGGCGGCAGGCUUAACACAUGCAAGUCGAGCGCCCCGCAAGGGGAGCGGCAGACGGGUGAGUAACGCGUGGGGAUCUGCCUAGUGGUACGGAACAACACGGGGAAACUCGUGCUAAUACCGUAUAAGUCCUUCGGGAGAAAGAUUUAUCGCCAUUAGAUGAACCCGCGUCUGAUUAGCUAGUUGGUGAGGUAACGGCUCACCAAGGCGACGAUCAGUAGCUGGUCUGAGAGGAUGAUCAGCCACACUGGGACUGAGACACGGCCCAGACUCCUACGUGAGGCAGCAGGGGGGAAUAUUGGACAAUGGGGGCAACCCUGAUCCAGCCAUGCCGCGUGAGUGAUGAAGGCCUUAGGGUUGUAAAGCUCUUUCGCUAGGGAAGAUAAUGACGGUACCUAGAUAAGAAGCCCCGGCUAACUUCGUGCCAGCCGCCGCAGUAAGAC
rnacentral:rRNA from 1 species